ACUCAAAGGUAACUCAAUGGCAUUUCUUCUCUCAGGAAAAUAUUGGAAACUGCUAAUUUUGUUUUCCACUUUCCUCGAGCGUAAGAGCCCCAGAAUUCCAGCAAGGCAUCAGUACCAAAUUUGUGCCAAAUUAUUUUGGGGUAGGCACUUUUCAACCACGUUGCUUGUUACGCUUCCCCUUCGCAGUGCAACUGUAUGUCCCUAGACUUAUGAUUAUCAAUACCAGAUUUCAUCAGGUGUCACUGCAACUAAGGAACAGCAUUUCAUUGCCUGGAGAAAGGCAUACAGCCACCGAUGAGGAGCAAAGAGCAAACUUUACUCAAAGCAUAACAUCCCUGACAUUGCAGUCUUCCAGCAAGGCAUCACCUGCACUAUCACCUGGAGUUGAAUUUAUUCUAAUGUGCUUGAUGUUAAACAUACCUUAUGACGGUACAUUUUGUUUGUUGAUAGUGUAACAAAGCCAAAGUAGGCUUUAGGAGCAACAAUAAAAAAAUAAAAGUCAA